CACAGGUCACCAGGCCUCUAGAGCCGCGGCAGGACCAGGUCGCCCGGGCCCUGAUCCCAGGCUGUCAAAUGGGCCAGCAUGGGUAAAGAGGAGCCUGGUUAACCAGGAAAACCAGACAGAGUCAAGCAAGCCUGUCCCUGCCCCAGAAGUCUCCCCAGUUUGAUGUGGCAGAACUAGGAUUCCAGCAGAUUCUGAAUCACCAUGCUCCUGCCCGUGCCUGCCGGCAGGUCUGACCCCAGGCAGCCAGCGGCUCCGGGAGGAGAGGAAGGGAGCUCCUCUGGGACUAACCCUUGGUGCUGAUGCCCCGCAGGUCAGUGAUCUUCAUAAGCAUCCUUGGGAACAUGUAGGGUUGGCUGGGACGCCGACGCCGAGCGUACAGCCUCAGGGCUUCCAGCAGGGGCUCCUGCAGCUUGUCCACUUUCUCAGGCUCCUCCAGGUCCAUGCGAUCUACAGGGACAAGCGCAGUGGAGUGGAUCGGGUCAGCGGCAGGAGCUGCCCGGCGAAGGCAAAGACGAGGUCUGUGAGGGGCCCGAAGCCGGCGUUGUGCAUCUGGGUCCGGUUCAGGGUGAGCCCAUCUGAGAAGGUCAUGGUGUCCUGCUCUGGGGUGUACCUUGUGCAGAUCCGCAGCAUCUACAAGUGUAUGAGGGUGUGGGGAGAUAGGGUGAGAGUGGGCCUUGAGCAGGGAGCUAAGACAAAAAGAGCUUGAGUACAGGAGUUCUGAGGAGUCCAGGAGGUGGUAAGGCCUGGAAGGGGAACAAGGAAACCUUUUCAUGGACCCUGGGAAUGGUUAAAGACCUCCCACAAGGGUAGGGGCGCUACUGGCAUGGAGCCUCCUACCCAGGGUGCCCAACCUACCAGGAUGUCCAGGCAGGCAGCCUUGAGUAAAGUAA